rnacentral:lncRNA from 1 species
UAAGCAUCCAAGUUUAGGUGAGAAGGUCAAGAACAUAUUUCCUUUGUGAGAUAUUGAUGAUCGUUCUUUAUCUAGUGACUUCCAUUCCCAAUAAGUACUGCAUUUAUUGCAGAUCUUUUACUUUCAAAUUCAGUGCCUAGGCUCUUCUUUAAUCUUUACAUCUUUACUACAUUAUCUCCAAUUAGGAUUAUGUCAUCAACAUAUACAAUUAAAAUUAUUUGAGUCUCAUCUUCAAAUUGUUGGAGAAACGAUGUGAUAUGAUUGUCCUUGUGAUAUCAUUAUCUUUUCAAUAUCUUUGCAAAUCUGUGAAAUCAUGCUCUUGGUUGCUGUUUAAGCUCGUACAUAGACUUCUUGAGUUUACAUAUCCAGUUUCUUUUACUUAUUUUGCCAAUACCUGAUGAUAAUGUCAUGAAGACUUCUUGCAAUUUAUUUAUUUUUAAAAUGCAUUCUUAAUGUUCAGUUGUUGAAAAGCCGAUCUCAAUUUGCUGCUAAUGACAGAAGCACUCGAAUUGUAUUCAACUUUGCUACGUGCAAAUAUCUCUAUAUAGUCAAUGUCAUAUGUUUAUGUGUAUCCUUUUGCAAAUAACCAAGCUUUAUACCAUCCAUUGUCCCAUCAGCUUUAUAUUUUAAGUUGAAAGACCAUUUGCACACAACAAAUUUCUUUUCCUUCGGAAGAUCCAUCACAUCUCAAGUUUCAUUUUUUUUUCCUAGUGCUCUCAUCUCCUUCAUUACUGCUGCUCUCCAUUUCGGAAUCUCCACGGCUUUCUACCUAUUCUUUGGAGUUUUGGUACUAUUAAUGUUAAAGGUAAAAACAAGAAACCCUAUAGUAGAUAGAGGAUUAUGAGAUAUGGAUUUUGAGAUAGGGUGAAAAGUACAUGAUCGAGUUUAUUUUUUGAAAGUACAUCAGAGGUUUCAUGAAAUUUUGGAGCUAUCAUCGUUUCCUACUCUCUUGGUGCUUCAAAUGUGAGAUUAUCCUUCUACAUUUCUUUUGGUCUCCUUGAAUAAACGGGCAUUUAAUUGUUACUUUGUUUUCUACAUCUCCUCCUCUAUUCAAGUUUCCUCUUGUAAAUAGCAUAGAAGAACUAAGCGGUGUGAUAGAUUCAGCAUUUGGAGUCGACUCGUGAGAAGAAAGAUCGAAGUUUAAGUACCUAUCUUCACUCAAAUUCUCCCUCCGAAUAAGGGUUUUUUUUUUUUUUUUUUUUGGGAAAUGGGGGUGUUUUCAAGGAAUCCUCUUCAUAGAAGUAUCAUUACACUUGUAUCCCUUUUGAGUAGAAUAGUAUCUAAUAAGAACCCAUUUAAUUGCUCAAGGACUUAGCUUAUUUCUAUGAUAGGAGUGAACAUGAACUAAUGCAGUAUAGCUGAACACCUUGAGAGAUAUUCGAGUUGAGUCGGACGUUAGGAAAAAAUUUUGAACUUUUUGGAGGGGUGAGUUUUAGUUUAGAGUAUGAUUAGGCAUUCUAUCGAUUAGGGAAGCAAAUCUUAACAUCUCCCAAAACAUUUUAGACAUGUUUGUAGUAAACAUCAAUUCCGAGCAAUCUCAAGGUGUCUGUUAGCAUUGUAUAUUUGGGCAGAUUGUUCUUCUAGGAAAUCUCUAUCUCAUGGGGUUUCUAUAUUUGUGGAUGGAUAUACUGCCUUGUCCAGUCAGGAGCUUCGAGGUUACAUAUUAGUAUGGAGGACAAUCCAAGAAUUAUUUCUUCAAGGCAUCGUGCGACUCAUAUAAUCUGCAAUAAUCUCUCUGACUGUAAAAUCAAGAAUUUGAGGUCAUUCAUUGGUGGCCUUCCUGUAGUUAGAUCUACCUAGGUGCGAGAUUCUAUUGCUGCUAAUAAAGUUUUGAGUUGGAUCCCUUAUCUGCUCAAUCAGCUUGCAAGAGAAAUUCAAUCUUUCCCUUUUUGUUGGCUGAAAGCUUUGGUAUGAUGACCAAUGAAAGCUAUCUGCUUUUUUUGCUCUUAAAAAACAGCCAAGAUUCUAAUGAUGCUAUGACUAGUGUUGCUAGUAAUAUCUGAGAUUGUGAAUUCACCAUUGAAGAGUGGGGCUUUGAUGGUUGCGAAUUAUCCUGAACAAUGUGAAUCUGGAGAACAAUUGCAACGUUAAUGGCUAGUUUGUAGUUUCUAUUUGUUGCUGAAUCAUUUGUGAGAAACAAAAAUUUGUAAAAUUGCUUGAAGAUGUCCCUUGUGUUCCUGAAGCCUGCUUGUUUCCUACUGUUGUCUCUGCAAACUUUCAAAAGCAUUAUUUUAUUGCCAUACAAGGCAUCGGAGGAAUGUCCAACAUAAGAUUCUAGGAUGAAUCUCUUCUUGCCUAGGGAGAAUGAUGCAGCCACAGGUCACGAGACAUCGGUACAAAAAUCGAUGGCUCACGGGUUUCAACAUUAUUUAAUGUCUCUUUAACUUUGGUUUUAGUGAACUAUGUAAUCUUUUGUUUUGUUGACUUUUCUCUUGGAAUUCUAAACUUUUUGCGAACGUGUUUAAAUAUUAAAGACAUCUUGUAAUUGGAAAUUAUUUUAAUGAAAAUUACAGAACUUGGAUUUUUCUUUUCGAUCAAAUAUCAGUAUUCUCGGAAUCAGUGAUUUUGUUGCUCAAAUCAAUUACUCAGUAUUCGUGUAGAAUCAAGGAGAUUGUGAUUUUAAAUUAGUUUUGAGUAUUUGGUGUAAUCAACGAGUAUUUGAUGGGUUGAUCGAAGUUCUUAGGAAUCAGUGGGCUUCUAUCUUGUUCCUUGUUCUGUUUUAC